rnacentral:rRNA from 1 species
UACGAAGGGUGCAAGCGUUAAUCGGAAUUACUGGGCGUAAAGCGCGCGUAGGUGGUUCGUUAAGUUGGAUGUGAAAGCCCCGGGCUCAACCUGGGAAUGGCAAUGGAUACUGGCAGGCUAGAGUGCGGUAGAGGGUAGUGGAAUUCCCGGUGUAGCGGUGAAAUGCGUAGAGAUCGGGAGGAACACCAGUGGCGAAGGCGGCUACCUGGACCAGCACUGACACUGAGGCACGAAAGCGUGGGGAGCAAACAGG